rnacentral:rRNA from 1 species
UACGUAGGGUGCGAGCGUUAAUCGGAAUUACUGGGCGUAAAGGGCGCGUAGGUGGCGCGGUAAGCGUGCGGUGAAAGCCUGGGGCUCAACCCCGGGUCGGCCGUGCGAACUGCUGGGCUUGAGCACUGUAGAGGCAGGCGGAAUUCCGGGUGUAGCGGUGGAAUGCGUAGAGAUCCGGAAGAACACCGGGUGGGCGAAGGCGGGUCCUCUGGGGCCGAUACUGACGCUGAGGAGCGAAAGCGUGGGGAGCGAACAGG